rnacentral:rRNA from 1 species
UACGGAGGGUGCGAGCGUUGUCCGGAAUCACUGGGCGUAAAGGGCGCGUAGGUGGCGCGGGCAGUCAACGGUGAAAGUUCGGGGCUCAACCCUGAAUCGGCCGUCGAUACUCCCGAGCUCGAGCACUGUAGAGGCAGAUGGAAUUCCGGGUGUAGCGGUGGAAUGCGUAGAGAUCCGGAAGAACACCGGUGGCGAAGGCGGUUCUCUGGGACGGUACUGACGCUGAGACGCGAAAGCGUGGGGAGCGAACAGG